CCCCUAGAUGUUCUGGGCCGCACGCGCGCUACACUGAACAGUUCAACAAGUUUUAACCUUGGCCGAUAGGUCUGGGUAAUCUUUGAACGCUGUUCGUGAUUGGGAUAGACCUUUGCAAUUAUGGGUCUUCAACGAGGAAUUCCUAGUAAACGCAAGUCAUCAGCUUGCAUUGAUUACGUCCCUGCCCUUUGUACACACCGCCCGUCGCACCUACCGAUUGAAUGGUCCGGUGAAAUCUCGGGACGGCGGCUUGGUCGCUUGCGUCCGACUGCUGAAACUUGAUUAAACCAUAUCAUUUAGAGGAAGGUGAAGUCGUANCA
rnacentral:rRNA from 1 species